rnacentral:lncRNA from 1 species
CGUUAUUUAACUCGCCAGUCAUGUUACGGUACAUUAUUCAUAAAUCUUCGAACUUUUCAUCAUGUAUAUUAUAACUAUCAUGAUUAAAUAACCAGUAAAUUUAAUGUUUUUGUACAUAAAAUUUUGCAGCUAAAUCGCUGAAAACCGUUUUCCGUCGGGGGGCCGAAGCCCCACUGAACCCCCUAACAGGGCUCUGCCCUGAACCAGAUAGGGGCCUUGAGCGGCCCCCAGACCCCCUGCCGGUUGGUGCCUACAGUUGACUGAAUACCUAGCUACGCCCCU